AUACGUAGGGGGCUAGCGUUAUCCGGAUUUACUGGGCGUAAAGGGUGCGUAGGUGGUUUCUUAAGUCAGGAGUGAAAGGCUACGGCUUAACCGUAGUAAGCUCUUGAAACUGGAUAUCUGGAGUGCAGGAGAGGAAAGUGGAAUUCCUAGUGUAGCGGUGAAAUGCGUAGAGAUUAGGAAGAACACCAGUGGCGAAGGCGGCUUCCUGGUCUGUAACUGACACUGAGGCGCGAAAGCGUGGGGAGC
rnacentral:rRNA from 1 species